UCGUGGAGUGAUUUGUCUGCUUAAUUGCGAUAACGAACGAGACCUUAACCUGCUAAAUAGCCCGGUCGGCUUCGGCUGUCUGCUGGCUUCUUAGAGGGACUAUCGGCUCAAGCCGAUGGAAGUUUGAGGCAAUAACA
rnacentral:rRNA from 1 species